rnacentral:rRNA from 1 species
GACGGGGACCCGCACAAGCGGUGGAGCAUGUGGUUUAAUUCGAUGCAACGCGAAGAACCUUACCUGGUCUUGACAUCCACAGAACUUAGCAGAGAUGCUUUGGUGCCUUCGGGAACUGUGAGACAGGUGCUGCAUGGCUGUCGUCAGCUCGUGUUGUGAAAUGUUGGGUUAAGUCCCGCAACGAGCGCAACCCUUAUCCUUUGUUGCCAGCGGUCCGGCCGGGAACUCAAAGGAGACUGCCAGUGAUAAACUGGAGGAAGGUGGGGAUGACGUCAAGUCAUCAUGGCCCUUACGACCAGGGCUACACACGUGCUACAAUGGCAUAUACAAAGAGAAGCGACCUCGCGAGAGCAAGCGGACCUCAUAAAGUAUGUCGUAGUCCGGAUUGGAGUCUGCAACUCGACUCCAUGAAGUCGGAAUCGCUAGUAAUCGUAGAUCAGAAUGCUACGGUGAAUACGUUCCCGGGCCUUGUACACACCGCCCGUCACACCAUGGGAGUGGGUUGCAAAAGAAGUAGGUAGCUUAACCUUCGGGAGGGCGCUUACCACUUUGUGAUUCAUGACUGGGGUGAAGUCGUAAGCAAGGUAACC